AUGAUUUGUUGUUGCUGUUCUUCUCCUUCCUCUGCGCUGAUGUUGGUGGGAGAUCCUGCUUUGUCCGGGCAGAUGGCCCGGCCGCGGUGCUGGACCGGUCGGAUGACUCGAGUUCUCUUUCUUCUGGAAGGGACAAUUUUCGCAGUACUCAAAGCCAAAGAUGACGACAGCUGUUGCACGUGUGUUGGAUUGAUGUUCAUGCCCUCUCAGCGCUGGUGUCAAGAAAGGAGGGAGCAGCGUGGCGACAAUUGUACCGUGGUUGAAGAUGAUGACCUGCUUGCGACUGGUUGCAGAUCCUUCUGUUGCAGGGGUGUUCUCUCAAGAUUCAGGGAUAAUGACACAGGGCCCCGGAGUCUUCUUGUGUUAUGGUUGUCUUAG
rnacentral:rRNA from 1 species